rnacentral:tRNA from 7 species
GCUUGGGUGGUGAAAUUGGUAGACACGCUGGACUUAAAAUCCAGUGACUGUAAUGGUCGUACGGGUUCAAGUCCCGUCCCGAGUACAA